GCCAGGCCUAGGUCUUCAGCUGAAUCAAGCAAAAUGAUUGAUAGACCCAUUCCACUUUUCCUUCUUCUGCAGCUGGUUCCACAGUCAAGCUUUUCUAUUAGAAUCCUGUCAUGUUAAUUGUCUGACCACUCUAGUUGUUGGCCUAGCAUUGUUCAUGUUUGGCUCCAAGCAUUCACAGUUUAGCUACAGCAUCAGACUCAGCACUAAUCUGCUCUCUUGUGAUUUCAGUACCUGUUCUGCCAGACUCUCCUGCAAACUGUGUACCUACAUGAGGUGUGGGAUUUUGCUAUAGUUGUGUUGGAACUCCGCUGCUUUGUUUCUUACAGCAAUUGAAGCGUUGAUCACCCCUUCCCCAGUCACUGUUUAAAUCUGCACUUAACAGGUUCUAUGGCUAUAACAGCGUGGCUCCACCCUUAAGGGAUGGACCACAGAGGAUAGCCACACCCGGAGAAGCACACCUCUAUUGGAGCAGGGGAUUUCUUAUACAGAACAGCAGGAAGCUGCAUAAGGUGAUUUGACAGAAGAAGGAAGCCAGGUCCAGAGGGCUGAGCUCUGGCCAGAAAGCACUAGGACUGGUGGCUUCUGCUGGGGCAGAGGAAGCGGUCUGUGUGAGAUUGCAGCGGUCAUCGACUUAAAUACUGGGUCAGAGUUUGUGAAAACUAGUCCCCACACGCUGUUCAGAAGAAGAUGCAGCAUUGCAAGGUGGAAUCUGUCGUUUCUGUGGGCUGCAGCUCAGCAUUGAAUAGGUCUGUGCACCACACUUCAGUUACCCAGAUGAAUUUAACCCUGUAACAUCUGUGUAAGUCUGAGAUCCAGCCAAAGCAAGGUCUGUUGGAAAAUAUGAUCCUUUUGAAAUUUUCAGCAGGAUAUUUCCAAGUGAGAUCUUACAGGCAAGGGCGAUCUUUUUGUCUUGUUUGUACAGAACCCAGCACAAUGGGGUCCUGGCCCAUGAUGAGGGCUUUUGGGCGUUAUUGCAAUUCAGUAAUAAGUGUCCUUAAAGGUGA